CCUACGGGUGGCAGCAGUGGGGAAUAUUGCGCAAUGGGCGAAAGCCUGACGCAGCGACGCCGCGUGAGGGAUGAAGGUCUUCGGAUCGUAAACCUCUGUCAGCAGGGAAGAACGGUCACUGUGCUAAUCAGCAGUGAAUUGACGGUACCUGCAAAGGACGCACCGGCUAACUCCGUGCCAGCCGCCGCGGUAAUACGGAGGGUGCGAGCGUUAAUCGGAAUUACUGGGCGUAAAGCGCUCGUAGGCGGGAUGUCAAGUCAAGGGUGAAAUCCCCGCGCUCAACGUGGGAACUGCCUUUGAAACUGGCAAACUGGAGUGUGUGAGAGGAUAGUGGAAUUCCAGGUGUAGGAGUGAAAUCCGUAGAUAUCUGGAGGAACAUCAGUGGCGAAGGCGACUAUCUGGCACAUAACUGACGCUGAGGAGCGAAAGCGUGGGUAGCAAACAGGAUUAGAUACCCCAGUAGUC
rnacentral:rRNA from 1 species